GAUCCUGGCUCAGGAUGAACGCUAGCUACAGGCUUAACACAUGCAAGUCGAGGGGCAGCAUGUUGGUUGCUUGCAACCAACGAUGGCGACCGGCGCACGGGUGAGUAACGCGUAUCCAACCUUCCGCAUACUCGGGAAUAGCCUUUCGAAAGAAAGAUUAAUGCCCGAUGGUUUCCCGAAUCCGCAUGAGAACGGGAAUAAAGAUUCAUCUGUAUGCGAUGGGGAUGCGUCCCAUUAG
rnacentral:rRNA from 1 species